CGCGUAGGCGGUCGUGCACGUCGGGGGUGAAAUCCCCGGGCUCAACCCGGGAACUGCCUUCGAUACGGCGCGGCUAGAGUGCGGGAGGGGAGAGUGGAACUCCUGGUGGAGCGGUGAAAUGCGUAGAUAUCAGGAGGAACGCCGGUGGCGAAAGCGACUCUCUGGUCCGCAACUGACGCUGAGGCGCGAAAGCCAGGGGAGCAAACG
rnacentral:rRNA from 1 species